rnacentral:lncRNA from 1 species
CACCUUCUUCACCGAUACUGUGAUUCUCGCAUUUGGGGAUAUUAGGAAUCCUUUGAGCACCACAACCUCGUCUAGAAAUCCCGCAUGCAGGAGAGACAUAAGGGUAAGUCAACAUCCCCAAACAAUCCUAACACUUUCGGAAAUAAUUAGUCGAGGGGAAUAGCUGAAUCCCCACCUUACUUUGGUGACCACCGCGAAAAUAAGAACCUCGAAUUGGAAGACCACCGCGAUCCGAACCUCGAGCCACCGUACCCCACCAUAACCACCGUGAACCACCAAAAGAUUUGAAGAACGAGACAGAAGCUCGAAGCGAAGCCACCGACAAGGCACCACCGUGAACCACCAAGAGAUUCGAAGAACGAGACAGAAGCUCGAAGCGAAGCCACCGGCAAGGCACAACCCGUCACCACCGCCGGAGAUGGAGCUAGAAAGAAGAAGGAGUUGGGGAUUAGGGAUUUCAAUUUUUCCCUUCCCAACUUGUUCUGCGUGAAAUGGGCAAAAGGGUUACCACCCCUCAAU